GGGUUCUGGGAGGCUCUGCCUCAUUUCAUACAGCCACUGUUUGCAUAUGCAAAUUGCAGCAGCCUGCUUCCUACUUACAACCCGGACUUACAGCAGCCUGACUGCUGAGCACAGGUCAGAGUGCACAGCAAGAGAACCGGACUAUUUUGAGAAGCACUGCUGGCCCCUUGUGUGAUACCUGAUUCUGAAGGAGGACGAUCACUACCAGAGAGCCUGCAAAGAGCAGGAGAAGGAGGCCUGGUUAUACCAUAAAUGGCAGAGUAAGCGCUUCUGGAACUUUCCGGCCUCCUCCUCCUCCAACUCAUCCUCAUCUUCCUCAUCCUCUUCUUUCUCUGGCUCCUCUGCCAUAAUUUAAUUUACUUCGCCCAGAGAGAGACUCCACCCUUCAGGACUAGCCUCCUCCUGGACCUCCCCUGUGUCUGGGCCUGGCUUUCUGAGCUUGGGCCCGGGGGGACAGGGGUGCAAGAGCCAGGCCCAGAAAUGCUGCAGACACGGGACCAGCCCACAUUUCUCCUCCUUCGUUUAGACAUUUUCGGACGGCAUCUAAAUUAAAUGCUUUUCUGUGUCUCUGAAUUGUGCUGGAACGCAGAACCGUCUUCAGAACGUGGACUUAAAAUUGGAAAGUGUUGCAUUUAACAUACUCUUCUGUGUAAUUUCUGUAUGAGCCAAACCCUGGGGAGCACAACCGGUGGAAGGACAUUGUCUCAUCAGCCAACCACUCGCCCUCUUAGCAUAUGUCACCUAUUUACCUUAUGGUCAUUGGAGGACAGUUCACCAUGUUGACAGUUCACCAGUUCUUCCGGUUGAGUUCUGUUAGUAGAACAAGGGGACAUAAAUGCAAAUGAACAAAAUGUAGAUUCCAUACAGGCUGUUACGGCCCAAGACAGCCGAGUUUCAGUAACCGGCUGUCCGUCCAUAGCCAAACACGUUUAAAUACACCACAACAUUCUUUACCAGAAUACAAAGUAUAUAUUUAUUACAAACCCAAUAACCCAAUACAAUACAAAAACCCACAUACAAACAGGUAGACAGGACAGAACCAGCAGAUCUAACCUAACACUCACUGUCUAAAUGGAACAUAACUUCUGCCCUCACUACCGUCGAGGAUGGGACGAGACAAAGAAGAAAUUAAAGGGGAGAAAGUGAGUCUUCUGGUCCGCUGCUACCCUACACUGACUGACUAGAACAAAAAGGUG